rnacentral:rRNA from 1 species
GUAGCCGCACGAGCGCACCCUUAUCCUUAGUUGCCAGCACGUUAAUGGUGGGAACUCUAANCGAGACUGCCGGUGACAAACCGGAGGAAGGUGGGGACGACGUCAAGUCAUCAUGGCCCUUACGAGAUGGGCUACACACGUGCUACAAUGGCAAGUACAAAGGGUUGCAAACUCGCGAGAGUAAGCGGAUCCCAUAAAGCUUGUCGUAGUCCGGAUUGGAGUCUGCAACUCGACUCCAUGAAGUCGGAAUCGCUAGUAAUCGUGGAUCAGAAUGCCACGGUGAAUACGUUCCCGGGCCUUGUACACACCGCCCGUCACACCAUGGGAGUGGGCUGCAAAAGAAGUGGAUAGCUUAACCUUCGGGAGGGCGUUCACCACUUUGUGGUUCAUGACUGGGGUGAAGUCGUAACAAGGUAGCCGUAGGGGAACCUGCGGCUGGAUCACCUCCUU